rnacentral:tRNA from 1 species
GCUGGGGUGGCUCAGUGGUAGAGCUCUUGCCUAGAACACAUGCGGCACUGGGUUCUAUCCUCAGCA